UGUGAGCUCGAUGAGUAGGGCGGGACACGUGGUAUCCUGUCUGAAUAUGGGGGGACCAUCCUCCAAGGCUAAAUACUCCUGACUGACCGAUAGUGAACCAGUACCGUGAGGGAAAGGCGAAAAGAACCCCGGCGAGGGGAGUGAAAAAGAACCUGAAACCGUGUACGUACAAGCAGUGGGAGCACGCUUAGGCGUGUGACUGCGUACCUUUUGUAUAAUGGGUCAGCGACUUAUAUUCUGUAGCAAGGUUAACCGAAUAGGGGAGCCGAAGGGAAACCGAGUCUUAACUGGGCGUUAAGUUGCAGGGUAUAGACCCGAAACCCGGUGAUCUAGCCAUGGGCAGGUUGAAGGUUGGGUAACACUAACUGGAGGACCGAACCGACUAAUGUUGAAAAAUUAGCGGAUGACUUGUGGCUGGGGGUGAAAGGCCAAUCAAACCGGGAGAUAGCUGGUUCUCCCCGAAAGCUAUUUAGGUAGCGCCUCGUGAAUUCAUCUCCGGGGGUAGAGCACUGUUUCGGCAAGGGGGUCAUCCCGACUUACCAACCCGAUGCAAACUGCGAAUACCGGAGAAUGUUAUCACGGGAGACACACGGCGGGUGCUAACGUCCGUCGUGAAGAGGGAAACAACCCAGACCGCCAGCUAAGGUCCCAAAGUCAUGGUUAAGUGGGAAACGAUGUGGGAAGGCCCAGACAGCCAGGAUGUUGGCUUAGAAGCAGCCAUCAUUUAAAGAAAGCGUAAUAGCUCACUGGUCGAGUCGGCCUGCGCGGAAGAUGUAACGGGGCUAAACCAUGCACCGAAGCUGCGGCAGCGACGCUUAUGCGUUGUUGGGUAGGGGAGCGUUCUGUAAGCCUGCGAAGGUGUGCUGUGAGGCAUGCUGGAGGUAUCAGAAGUGCGAAUGCUGACAUAAGUAACGAUAAAGCGGGUGAAAAGCCCGCUCGCCGGAAGACCAAGGGUUCCUGUCCAACGUUAAUCGGGGCAGGGUGAGUCGACCCCUAAGGCGAGGCCGAAAGGCGUAGUCGAUGGGAAACAGGUUAAUAUUCCUGUACUUGGUGUUACUGCGAAGGGGGGACGGAGAAGGCUAUGUUGGCCGGGCGACGGUUGUCCCGGUUUAAGCGUGUAGGCUGGUUUUCCAGGCAAAUCCGGAAAAUCAAGGCUGAGGCGUGAUGACGAGGCACUACGGUGCUGAAGCAACAAAUGCCCUGCUUCCAGGAAAAGCCUCUAAGCAUCAGGUAACAUCAAAUCGUACCCCAAACCGACACAGGUGGUCAGGUAGAGAAUACCAAGGCGCUUGAGAGAACUCGGGUGAAGGAACUAGGCAAAAUGGUGCCGUAACUUCGGGAGAAGGCACGCUGAUAUGUAGGUGAAGUCCCUCGCGGAUGGAGCUGAAAUCAGUCGAAGAUACCAGCUGGCUGCAACUGUUUAUUAAAAACACAGCACUGUGCAAACACGAAAGUGGACGUAUACGGUGUGACGCCUGCCCGGUGCCGGAAGGUUAAUUGAUGGGGUUAGCGCAAGCGAAGCUCUUGAUCGAAGCCCCGGUAAACGGCGGCCGUAACUAUAACGGUCCUAAGGUAGCGAAAUUCCUUGUCGGGUAAGUUCCGACCUGCACGAAUGGCGUAAUGAUGGCCAGGCUGUCUCCACCCGAGACUCAGUGAAAUUGAACUCGCUGUGAAGAUGCAGUGUACCCGCGGCAAGACGGAAAGACCCCGUGAACCUUUACUAUAGCUUGACACUGAACAUUGAGCCUUGAUGUGUAGGAUAGGUGGGAGGCUUUGAAGUGUGGACGCCAGUCUGCAUGGAGCCGACCUUGAAAUACCACCCUUUAAUGUUUGAUGUUCUAACGUUGACCCGUAAUCCGGGUUGCGGACAGUGUCUGGUGGGUAGUUUGACUGGGGCGGUCUCCUCCUAAAGAGUAACGGAGGAGCACGAAGGUUGGCUAAUCCUGGUCGGACAUCAGGAGGUUAGUGCAAUGGCAUAAGCCAGCUUGACUGCGAGCGUGACGGCGCGAGCAGGUGCGAAAGCAGGUCAUAGUGAUCCGGUGGUUCUGAAUGGAAGGGCCAUCGCUCAACGGAUAAAAGGUACUCCGGGGAUAACAGGCUGAUACCGCCCAAGAGUUCAUAUCGACGGCGGUGUUUGGCACCUCGAUGUCGGCUCAUCACAUCCUGGGGCUGAAGUAGGUCCCAAGGGUAUGGCUGUUCGCCAUUUAAAGUGGUACGCGAGCUGGGUUUAGAACGUCGUGAGACAGUUCGGUCCCUAUCUGCCGUGGGCGCUGGAGAACUGAGGGGGGCUGCUCCUAGUACGAGAGGACCGGAGUGGACGCAUCACUGGUGUUCGGGUUGUCAUGCCAAUGGCACUGCCCGGUAGCUAAAUGCGGAAGAGAUAAGUGCUGAAAGCAUCUAAGCACGAAACUUGCCCCGAGAUGAGUUCUCCCUGACUCCUUGAGAGUCCUGAAGGAACGUUGAAGACGACGACGUUGAUAGGCCGGGUGUGUAAGCGCAGCGAUGCGUUGAGCUAACCGGUACUAAUGAACCGUGAGGCUUAACCUU
rnacentral:rRNA from 1 species